UUAUGGGCUGAAUUGUGUCACUCCACAGUUCAUAUAUUGAAGCCCUCACUCCCAGUACCUCAGAAUGUGUCUCUAACUGGAGAUAGAGCCUUUAAACAGGUAAUUAUGUUAAAAUGAGGCCAUUAGGGUGAAUCCUUAUCUAAUAUGACUUGUGACUUUAUAGAAACAAUGAAUUCCGGAAAGGAGAUGGAGCAAGAUGGCCUAAUAGAAGCCUUCACUGAUUGUCUACCCUGCAGGAACACCAAAUUAAACAACUAUCCACACAAGAAAGCACCCUCAGAACAACCAAAAAUCAGUAUUUUACUACCUGCCCCUGCGAGAUUUCCUGUCUUUCAAAAUCAAGUCUAGCAAAGCUGACCUAGAGCAGGAGGCACUUACUAGGAAAGAGAAGAUCAUCUCUACUCAGGAUUUACCAUCCACUUUACCUCCUUGCUAAGCUGCACAGUAUUAAACUUUGUCAGUAGAAGGUGCAGAAGACACACUGGAAGAGAAAGGGUUUCUCAUCCUGGUUCUGGUAUGCUGCACUAGACAAGCCCCUGCAGCAUAUGCAGCACAGCCUCUGCAGAACCAGGCUCCUGUAGUAUGUGUGGCUUCUGCAGCACAUGGCUCCAGCAACACCUACCAGACAGCAGCACAUGGCAAUUCCCCACGGACAGCUGCUACCAGCUUCCUCUUAUAAGGCUUUUAGGUAAAGGAUCACCAGCAUGGGACCUACCAUGAGCAGCUUCUCCAGGCGCCCUCUUGGGUGGCUACACAACAGAAUCCUGCUAGCCAGCCCAGCACCGCCUCAUCCAUGGCUUCUCUAGGGAACUUCCUUGGGGCAGCUUCACAGUGAGUUCCAAGGUACAGCAGCUCUCCAGAGCAGCUUCCCCCAGCAGCUCAGAGAGUGGCUUCUCAGUAAAUGCUGCCAACAUGGCACCUCCCGGUGGAUGACUUUCCCUGGAACUUUUCUGGAAUCCCCUUGGGUGUCCUUGCAGUCUUGUGAACAUCUCUGCCAUACAGUGAGCUACUGCUGCACUGUCUCCAAUGAAAUCCAGACUGUCUCAGGAUGGGAAGGGGCAUCCAGAUUUGAUUUUUUUUAUUCCUUGGAUAUUGUUUUUCAUACCCAGGGGGAAGUGGUUGUUUCCCAUACCUACUAUUCUUCUACUUAUUAUUAUUUUUUUUAGUGUCUUUACUUCUAGUCAAUCUCCUGUUAGUCUAAUACCCUGUUAAUAAUUUCUUAUAUUAAUUGUGUCUUUUUAAAAUUAUCUUUAAAUUAAAAAAAAUCUUUGUGUUUUCUAUCUACCAAUUAGACCCCAACUAAUACAACCGGUAAGUGGCAAACCCAGUACCCAGAUAAUCCUAUAAAAAAAGGAAAAUGCAUAGGUGUUAUAAAGAUUGAAAAGGAAAAUGUAAAACUGUCAUUCUUUCCAGAGGAUAAGGUCAUUUAUUUAGAAAUGCCAGCAGAAUGGAGAUGACGACCAUAGAUGACAGAAAUACAAUGGAAAAGAAAUUAACAAUAAAAUUUAAACUGCAGUUCCUUACAUAAAUUAACAAUGAUAAAUAGCUAUAAACUUGGGAUUGUAAUUAAUUUGUCUCUCUACCAAAAUUCUAAAAAGUGUAGAAUUUAAGAAAAUAAAAGUCUAUAGGAAUGAAUGACAUCAGCUAGGGAAGAGUUUUAUAAGCAGAAGCAAGAGGGCUGAUAUCAACGAGAAAUGUAGUAGAGAUAGAAUAGCCAGCAAAGAGACUGAAAAGGAAGGAACAAGAAAAAAUGUGGGCAUAUAAUGUGGAAUCCUAGUAAAAAGGAAUCAGCAGAACUGUGGACUGUCAGCCAAAUCUGACCGUCCUCCCACCCACACACUCCAGCCUUCUACCCCUACCUGUUUUUGGACAGCUCCUGAGCUAAGAAUCAGUUUUAUGCUAAAACAGAAAAGUUGAAUAGUUGCAACAGAGACUGUUUGGCAGCCAAAGUCUAAAAUAUUAUCACCUAGCACUUUACAGGAAAAGUGUAAUGACCCUGCUAAAGAAGUGUCUCAAAUGCUUUUGUGAGACAGAGUAAAAUGCGGACAAAAAUAUGACCAUUUGUUUGCUUGAAUUCUGUGUCCUCUGAAAGUGAAUUUCACAUCCCUAAAACUCAGAUCAGAUAUAAUCUAAACUUUUUCUCCUUAAAAUUGAACUUUACCAACUCUUGAACUCCCAUUCUCUAAAAUUCAGGAUAUACUCAGUCUCAUUUCAUAUACUUAUCCUACCUAGGGAUAAUCUAAAUUCCAGGCAGCUUACUUAUCCCUCUAAAAUUGAGGAGAAGGCCAGCCUGGUCUACAGCAAUCCUCCAUCAUCUACUGACCUCUAUCAAGAUGCACAUUCCUCACCAACCUUUGAUGGCUGGCACUGACCUCUGGUGUAUUGUCUACCCUUUGAUCACCAGGUUGAUGCCAGUCAUACACUGUCUUCAUCAUACCAAUUAUGCCAGGUGAAGUCUUCCAGCUUACUCACCAUUCCUUUUUCACCUCUCUCACUUAGACUCUAGGCAACUUUGCUGUGCUUUUUCAUGUACCAUACUGGAUGGGCAGAAAUCUGUGAGAGCUUACCCCUCUACUGAUAUCCUUCUAUUCAACAAGCUUCUCUGGGGGCGUGGGUUCACACCAGGCCACCCCAAGAAAGCAAAGCACAGGUGUUGUUCAGCCCAAACUUAUCAGAAACAGAGAGAAAGUGGGUCUAUGAUUUUUGAACUUGCUUAGAGACAUUCUCCAAGGUCUGACUCUGCAUUUUCUCUCACAAUUCUGAAGCCUUUCCCAAUUUUAACAAUUCUUUCAGUGGAAGAAAAAC
rnacentral:lncRNA from 1 species